rnacentral:lncRNA from 1 species
CUUUUGAUGCUUUGCUGCUGUUUAAAUGCUGCCUGAAUGCAUUAAAAGGACACCUGGCAAACUGCACAGAUAGAAAUAAUUGGCUGCAUGAGCUCCAGCUAAAAACAUUCGCUUUCUGAAUGAAAUGUGAUUCCCUUGCGACACAGCUGAAUUAAUAAGCUGGGCCAAAUUAGCUGCGCAGCUUAGGCAUGUCAUUUCCUCUUUCUCAGCAGCACUUGCCUCUACCUAAAUUAGGCUGACAACAAAUACUAUCUGGAGUGUGGUUGUUUUGUACUUUAACUUAUGCUGUUCUGUUGGUACUUUUUUGAACUGUGUGUAAAAGUUUGCUGGGGAGGAAAUAUUCCACACUUGGGGGUGAAACUUGUCGUGUUUUAAUUUUGGGGGAAAGGCUGAGACCAACAUUUUUUUUCUUCAUGUUGGGAUUCCUCACUCUGAGUGAAUCAGAUAGUUGAAAUGAUAUUUUUGCUGGCAUGUAAAGUUUGUGUUUCUCUUUUUUAGGACUGUUGCCCAGUUUGACAGCUUGAAAGCUUUCACUCGAAUGGAUCAAUCACACUUCUAUCUGAAACCCCUGGCUUCUCUGUUUGCUUGUCCUGCGCAAUCUCUGGUUCUUCACAAGGCCGAGAUCAGAGAAGAAGGAAACAGUGGUGCUACAAUUUUGUCUCUGAAUUCAAGUCAGCCUGGGGAAUUCCUUUGAGUAUGUGCAGCAAAGCCUUGAAGAGAGCCUGACUAUCGAUUCAAGAUGUCAUCAAGAAACUAACACACAACACCGCGCUACUCCAGCACUUGAGAACCAUUCCUCAGUAGGCAGCUAAUUCAACACUGCUGUGGCUGUCUUAACUCUUCUGCUGCACAAUCUCUUUUUGAUUCAUCACAAUGUGAAGCUUAGCUUAUGCAGCUUGCUGAAUGCAUUCGUAAUCUUCUUGUCUAAUUAAAGGCUUGGAUAUAUUAGAGUCUUCAUGAAUCUUCAUGAAAGAAUACGCUUUUGUGUCCUGUUGUCAAACUGGUAAAUUUCUGUUGCCAGAAUGGUUUGCUUUUGCAAAGGGAAACAGCUGUUAUGAUGGAGACAGCGGUGGCGCAUUGAUUGCACAAUACGUGUCUCAACUCAACUCAGCCUUUUCGCUGUUCCUACAUCUCUCUGAAUCUUCCUGUAUUUCACUUCAGCUUCUCCGGUUCUGAAGAAAAGCAAAGUUGGACGACAAGGCAGUGCUUUUGUGUGUUGAAGAAUCCCUCCCAGCUUUUUAUGGUAGUGGGACGGCCACAUGCUGACUGGAUGUGAAGGAGUCCGAAGGAGACCGGUGCAGCUCCUUAUGUAGAUCAGGGGAGAAUGAAACAGUGGUGCCAUUACUUUGUCUUCAAAUUCAAGUCAUCCUGAAGGAUUUCUUUGAGCAAGUGCAGCAAGGCCCUGAAGAGUGCCUGGCCAUUGAUUCCUGAAGUCAGCAAGAACUUUUCACAUGAGACCAGCACUACUUCAGCAGUAAUAUGCUGAUGUGAUGGAUUACGAGAAUGGUUUCAGACUUUGGAGUUGGGAGGGCUGCUGAGUGUGUUUGUCAACUUUUGGUGAGUCUGUUCCUUGUUGAGUCUGUGACUGAAUGUACGUGGUGCUACAUAUGUACACAAUUGU